UAAAAAGGCUUCUGUCCUGAGUGGCACAUGUAGGGCAGUUCAGCUAUUCUGCAUGUAGAAUUUGGAGAUUUUGGAAGCAUGAUUUUUUUGCUAUUCAGGCAGCUGGAUUAUUGAUUGUUUGGUCCAACA